rnacentral:rRNA from 1 species
GACCGUGCGAAGGUAGCAUAAUAAUUAGUCUUUUAAUUGAAGACUUGAAUGAAAGGUUGGACAAGAAAUAUACUGUCUCUAUUAUAAAUAUUGAAUUUAACUUUUAAGUGAAAAGGCUUAAAUAAUUAGAGGGGACGAUAAGACCCUAUAAAACUUUAUACUUACCAUAUAAAUUACUAAUUAUUUUUACAAAAUAGUUUACAUUAGGUAUUUAUUUCGUUGGGGCGACGAGAAUAUAAAAAAUAACUGUUCUCUCUUUACACAAUAAUAUUUGAUCUUUAUUGAUCCUCUUUUUGAGAUUACAAGAAAAAGUUACUUUAGGGAUAACAGCGUUAUUUUUUUUAAGAGUCCAUAUCGACAAAAAAGAUUGCGACCUCGAUGUUGAAUUAAAGUUUCCUUCUAACGCAGCAGUUAGAAAGGAAGGUCUGUUCGACCUU